rnacentral:lncRNA from 1 species
GUGGACUGGGAUCUUUGGGAGGAACUGGGAAUACUGGAAAAGGGAUUAUGAGAGACUGGGAGUAGGGUUAUGGGGAACUGGGAGCAGUGGGAAUGGUGUUAUGGAGGACUGGAUGCCCUAAGGGGGACUGGGAGAACUGAAAGGGACUAGAAGUGGGGUUGUGGGGUCUAGGAGCACCGGGAGGGAAUGGACUUAUGGAGCACUGGAAAUGGGAGUAUGGGCACUGGGAGGGACUAGGAAUGAGUCCAUAAGCUCUGGGGAGAAGUAUGGGUACUGGGAGAGCAGGAAAUGGCAUAAUGGGGGACUGGAAGUACUGGAAACGGCACUAUAGGGGAUUAGGAGAGACUGGGAAUGUAUUCAGAAGCCCCGGGGGGAGGGAUGUGGGCACCGGGAGGGCCUGGGAGCAACUGGGAGUGGUAUUAUGUGGAAAUGGGAGGGGCUGGGAAUGGGAUUGCAGGCACUGGGAGGGACUGGGGGGUAUUGGGAAUGGCGUUAAGGGACACUGGGGUUACUGGGAGCACUGGGGUUACUGGGAGCACUACUAAUAGGGUUGCUGUCAGCACGGGGCCCACCUCCAUCAGGAAGACGCCCGCCUCCCUUGCAGCUGCUGCCAUCUCCUUGGCCUCGCGGGCGCUGAUGCCCAAUGGCUUCUCCACCAGCACAGCCUUGCGUGCCCGCAGGAACAGGAGGGUGGCCGGCAGGUGCUGCGGGUUCACCGUGCCCACGUAGACCACGUCUGGGGCAGGGGGACGGGGAGACACCAGUGGGGACAAGGAGAACCCGUUAGGGAGAAUGAGACCCUGGUGGGGAUGGGGAGAACUCACUGGGGACAGGGAGACCCACUGGGGACAAUGAGAUAGCGAUGGGGAAAGAGACCCCAUUUGGGCAGGGGACAGCACUGGGGACAAUGACAUUCCAGUGUGGACAGUGAGAACCCACUGGGGACUAUGAGAUACCAGUGGGGACAGAGAGACCCCAAUGGGGACAAUGAGACCUUACUGGGGACUAUGAGACCCUACUGGGGACGGAGAGGGACAAUGAGACCCUAUUGGGAACAGGGACAUACUAGUGGGGGCAAGGGGACACCAUUGAAGACAGGGAGAUCCCAGUGGGGACAGGGAGACACCAGUAGAGGGCGAGGGGACACCAGUGAGGACAAUGGGAGCUACUGGGGCAAGAGAGACCCCACUGGGGACAAUGAGACCCUUCUGGGGACAAGGAGACACCAGUGAGGACAAUGAGGUACCAUUGGGCACAGUGAGACCCAUUGGUGACAGGAAGACCCUACUGGGGACAAUGAGACCCUACUGGGGACAGAGAGACCCUAUUGGGGCAGGGAGACACCAGUGAGGAGAGGGAGACCCCAGUGGGGAUAAUGAGGCCCUACUGGGGACAGUGAGACCCUACUGGAGACAGAGACACACCAGUAAGGUCAGUGAGAACCACUGGGGACAGAGAGACCCCAGUGGGGCCAGGGGAACUCCAGUGGGAACAUGAGGACCCCCCUCACCCCACACGCACCACAUCUGGUGACAGUGGGGGACGUGAGGGGACAGCGCGAUGUCCCCCCACAUCCCAGCGAUCCCAUGGGGGUCCCGGCCUCACUAUGGAGCAUCCCACGGCCCCGUGAGGUGAUGACUCCGUGUCCUCAUGGGGUGUCACCCCCGGCCCCACUCACCCACUUGGGGGUCUCUUGCCAGCUCCUCGUAGCUCCCAUAGGCGCGUGCCACCCCGUGCAGCUGCGCGUACUGCUGGGCACGGGACAGCUCCCGUGCUGCCACUGCCACAGCCAGGUGCUCCUCGGGAGGCAGUGUGCGCAGGGCCACCAGGAAGUCGUGGCUGAUUUUGCCAGCCGAGCAGAUGCCCCAGCGGGUUGGGGGUGGGCAGGUGGUACCGCGGGGAGACUCGGUGGGCUCCCGGGGGGUCACAGUGGGGUCUGGAGGGGUCUCGGUGGCUUCCAAUGGGCUCCUGGUGGUCUCCAAAUGAGUCCGGGAGGUGUCCAGGAGGGUCUUGGUGGUAUCUGGGGGGGUCUCAGUUCUGCCCAGUGGGGUCUCCAUGGUUCUUGGGGAGAGGGGACGGGGGGUCCCAGUGGUGCUCAGGAGGUCCUGGUGGUAUGCGAGGUGUCUGGCUGGAUCCUGGGGUGUUGCGCCAGGUGGUGUCCAGUAGGGUCCUAAUGGUGUCCAAUGGGAUCCUGGUGGCUCUCAGCAGUUCCGGAGGGGUCACGCAGCACUCCCCUCUCACUCCGGGCAGCCGUGCGUGCGCUGUGGGUGCGGGGGUGGUGGAGCCUCACCUGAUUGGGGCCCCCCGGGGUUGGGUGGUGGUGAAAGCCCA